rnacentral:tRNA from 1 species
UUAGGGAUAAGCUAAUAAAGCUAAAGGGCUCAUAACUCUUUGAUAGAACGAUUUCUUCCCUAAA